rnacentral:rRNA from 1 species
AACGAACGCUGGCGGCAUGCUUAACACAUGCAAGUCGAGCGGGAAACUUCGGUUUCCAGCGGCGGACGGGUGAGUAACACGUGGGCAACCUGCCUCACAAUGAGGGAUAGCCCUCCGAAAGGAGGAUUAAUACCUCAUAACACAAGAGAAACGCAUGUUUCUCUUGCCAAAGAAUUUCGUUGUGAGAUGGGGCCGCGGCGCAUUAGCUUGUUGGUGAGGUAACGGCUCACCAAGGCUUCGAUGCGUAGCCGACCUGAGAGGGUGAUCGGCCACAUUGGAACGGAGACACGGACCAGACUCCUACGGGAUGCAGCAGUGGGGAAUAUUGCACAACGGAGGAAACUCUGAUGCAGCAACGCCGCGUGAGUGAUGAAGGUCUUCGGAUUGUAAAGCUCUGUCUUCUGGGACGAUAAUGACGGUACCAGAGGAGGAAGCCACGGCUAACUACGUGCCAGCCGCCGCCGUAAAAC